rnacentral:rRNA from 1 species
GGUUUCGGCCUUAGUGGCGGACGGGUGAGUAACGCGUAGGUAUCUAUCCACGGGUGGGGGAUAACAGCGGGAAACUGCUGCUAAUACCGCAUGACACCUGAGGGUCAAAGGCGCGAGUCGCCUGUGGAGGAGCCUGCGUACGAUUAGCUUGUUGGUGGGGUAACUGCCUACCAAGGCGACGAUCGUUAGCUGGUCUGAGAGGAUGAUCAGCCACAUUGGGACUGAGACACGGCCCAAACUCCUACGGGAGGCAGC